UUCGAUUGGGCGGCUCAACGUUGCCGAGCCACGACGCUGUAAGGCGCGUGCCGAUUGGUCCGUUCGGCUCCCGAGCCCAGCCCCCGGGGGGUGGGAUGUCUCGAGAGUGAGUGUUCGGGAGAGCACGUGUUCGGGAAGGCGGAGGCGGAGGGGCGAGCCCGCCCCGAGGGACAGUGCUCCCACUGGUCACGGGGUCCUGAACUCGCCCGGACACUCUGGAGGGAAGGAUAAGUCAAAUCAGGUCUGGAGGCGUCGGACCAGGUAGAGAUCUCCUGAGCAAACUGGAAGCCCAGAUCACCUUCCACCUGGAAGGGACUAUGAGCCUCACUCUUAGCGGCCCAGAGACUCUAAUAAUGGCGGUCACCUUUCCCCAGGAAUCAGAAUGGAAGCUCUAUGACAAGGCCAAAGAGGAACAGACCACCUGACUUCUGGCAGGAUUUUCCAUUGCUAUGGGCGGAGGACAAUCCCCCCCGCCCCACCGGUCUUGCACACCAGCAUGCACCCCUGGUGAUCAAGAUGAAACCGGGAGCCCAACCGACCAGGAGACAACAGUACCCCAUCCCCAAGGAGGCUCAAAAGGGAAUUCAGGAACACGUUAAUAGGCUUAAGCAGGAGGGGAUUUUAGUGGAGUGCCAGUCCCCAUGGAACACUCCCCUCCUGCCAGUCAAAAAGCCCAACGGAGGUGGAUACUGGCCCGUCUGAGAUGUGCGACUGAUUAAUGAGGCCAGAGUGGCUCUCCACCCAGUGGUACUGAAUCCAUACACCCUCCUGAGCCUCAUUCCUCCUGAUGCUGCCUGGUUCUCCUGCCUAGACUUAAAGGAUGCUUUCUUCUGCCUGCAGCUCAUUCCAAAGAGCCAGCCCCUGUUCGCCUUCGAGUGGAAGGAUCCUCAGACUAGAAGGAAAACUCAGCUGACCUGGACUCUACUACCACAGGGAUUUAAAAAUUCACCAACUCUAUUCGGAGAGGCUCUAACCGCUGACCUCAUCUCCUUUCUGAGAGAAGAAACCCACUGCACACUUCUACAGUAUGUCAAUGACCUCCUUCUAGCAAGGCCAACCAGAGAAGACUGCCAACAGGGAACCUGGUGCCUACUCCAAUUGCUCACUGACAAAGCAUACAAAGUCUCCUGGAAAAGGGUACAGAUCUCCAGGCAACAGGUGAUGUACCUCAGUUUCCACAUCACUCGGGCACCAGACACUGGCACAUGAGCGUAAGCAUACCAUCUGUACAAUUCCCAACCAGUCAGAGACAACUAAGAGAAUUCCUGGGAGCAGCCAGAUUCUGCUGCAUCUGGAUCCCAAGUUUCUCCCUAAAGGCCAAGCCUCUGUGCAAGUCCCUACGAGGGCCUGAAAACAAAGAAUUGGAUUGGCCUGAGAGUCAUGAAAGGGCUUUCCAGGAAAUAAAAGACUUACUAAAAAGAGCCUCCGUACUAGGGCUACCAGACCUCACCAAAGACUUUGACCUGUUUGUAUACAAGAAGAAACAAGUGGCUCUGGAGGUUUUGACUCAAACUGUGAGCCCAUGGCAGAGACCAGUGGCUUACUUGUCAAAACAAUUGGACCUGGUAGAAACAGGAUGGCCACCUUGCCUCCGUGCACUGGGGCAGCCACCAUCCUGCUAGUCAAGGAAGCAGACAAACUCAACACUGGGACAAAACCUCCAUGUGCGAGUCCCUCAUACAGUAAUGCACACCUCAGGGCACCGGUGGGUCUCUAAUGCACACCUCAGGGCACCAAUGGCUCUUAAGCAACUGGUUAGCACAAUACCAGGGACUGCUACGUGUAAAUCUGCGGGUCACCCUGGAGCCUGUGCAGACCUUGAAUCCCACCACCCUCCUACCCACGGAGACAGGCCCCCAGACCAUGAUUGCACCGAGGCAUUAGAGGAGGUCUGUGCCAGCUGGCCAGAUCUGAAGGACAGUCCUAUACCAGCACUGGACUUAGAACUCUACACGGUUGGCAGUAGUUUUAUCCAGAAUGGGAAAUGAUUGGCGGGCUUCAUAGUCACACAGUGGAUGAGGUCAUCAUGUCAGCUCCUUUGCCCCAAGGGUGGUCAGCACAAAAGGGGGAGCUACGGGCCCUCAUCCAAGCCCUUAGGCAUGCCCAUGGUAAGAAGACAAAUAUAUACGCAGACUCUAAAUAUGCCUUUGUCACAAUACGUAUCCAUGGGGCAAUGUACAGGGAGAGGGGACUGCUGACUGCAGGUGGAAAGGAGAUCAAAAAUAGGGAUGAAAUCCUCCAACUGCUGGAGGUGGUUUGGGAGCCAAAAGAAAUUGUGGUCAUCCACUGUCGAGGGCUCCAAAAGGGCACAGGUCCAGUUGCCAUUGGUAAUCACCUGACAGACCAAGCAGCCAAAAGUGCAGCUACCCGAAAAUGUUCAGAGGACAACACUGCAACCCAGUGCCAAAUCUUGUUGGCACCUGAGUGGCCUGAAGAACCAAAGAAAACGCCAGAAGAGAACCAGUGGGCAAAGCAAGAGAAGGCCAAGAGGGAUGCAGACGGGUGGUGGCACCUACAGAAUCAUAACAUCUUUAUCCCCGGUAAACUAGCGUACUCUGUUGUCUCCUGACAUCACAACCUGACUCACUUAGGGAAAACAGCCCUCAUGCAGCUACUCGCCCAGUACUACUAUACCGCCAAACUUCCAUCCAUCUCUGCAGCAGUCAGCACCCGCUGCCAGACCUGUGCUUAAAACAAUGCAGUGGUCAGGCUGAGACCCGCCCCAGGAACUCAGUACACCGGAACCUCUCCGUUCGAGGAUGUGGAAGGAGAUUUCACAGAAGUAAUACCAUGUCAGGUCUAUACAUACGUGCUGGUGGUGAUAUGCACCUUCUCAGGCUGGGUCGAGGCAGUCCGUAGCCGGACUGAAAAGGCUAGGGAAGUGGCAAAGCUUCUAUUAAGAGAGAUCAUCCCCAAGUAUGGUCUGCCACUCUCCUUAGGCAGUGACAACAGACCAAGCCUCACUGCAGAGGUUAUGCAAACCUUACCAAGGCACUAGGAAUCAAAUGGAAACUAUAUACAGCCUACAGGCCACAGAGCUCAGGGAAAGUAGAGGGCAUGGACCAGACCCUCAAGACCACUCUAGUGAAGCCAUGUCAGGAAACACAAUUAUCCUGGGUAGACAUGCUAAGCCUAGCCCUGUUCGGAGUCAGGUGCAUACUGGAACCCACAGGAUAUUCACCCUUUGAAAUCCUGUUCAGUAGACUUCUCCUACUCAUCAAGCAAUUAAGGGGAGACAUUAGACAACUAGGGGAAUUGAAUAUAAACACACACCUCCAAGCCUUAGCCAAAGCUAUGUGCCAUACCCACCAUACUGUCCUAGAAAAAACCCCUAUCACCCUGGGUCUCCCUGUCCACCCCCACCAACCAGGGAAUCUAGUCUGGGUAAAGGACUGGAAAAGAACACCCUCAGAGCCCAGCUGGAAGGGUCCCCAUACUGUGAUACUAGUUACUCCCACUGCAGGUAUCACUCUGUAGAUCCAUCACUCCCAGGUGAAAAAGGCUGAACCAGACAACAAAACUGAUCUCUGGACUGCACAUCAGGACCAGCCUAACCCACUAAAGAUCCAGCUUAACCAUCUCCAAAAGAGGACAGCCACACCCAGGACUGAACAGAAACUACUUUUAAAGAGAAUUUCAUUGAUGAUGAAGGCAUGGCCAAGACCAGCUCUCCACGACUAUAGAAUUAUUUGCAGAAAAUUGAGUCAGCAUGAAUAAAAUGCAAGAUUAUGCCUGUGAUACUGCUGCUAACAUGAGUGAAAAGUUAACAGAGUGUUACCAUCAAGUGUAGAGUCUUGGUAUGUCACCCCAGCUAGAGUGCAUCGUGGGC